GGUAACUCGGGGCCAGCGUGGGGGGGAAGACGGGGGGGGUGAGCGGUAUUCGGAAGGAUGGGGCGUAAAGGGCGCGGAGGCGGUGUUGCAAGUCAAAGGUGAAAUCCCUCGGCUUAACUGAGGAACUGCCUUGGAAACGGAGAGGGUUGAGGCCGGGAGGGGGUAGCGGAAUUCCCAGUGUAGCGGUGAAAUGCGUAGAUAUGGGGAGGAACACCAGUGGCGAAGGCGGCUACCUGGACCGGAACUGACGCUGAUGCGCGAAAGCGUGGGUAGCAAACAGGAUUAGAUACCCCAGUAGUC
rnacentral:rRNA from 1 species